rnacentral:rRNA from 1 species
UACGAAGGGGGCUAGCGUUGCUCGGAUUCAUUGGGCGUAAAGGGUGCGUAGGCGGCGCGGUAAGUCGGGUGUGAAAUCUCGGAGCUUAACUCCGAAACUGCAUUCGAUACUGCCGUGCUUGAGGACUGGAGAGGAGACUGGAAUUUACGGUGUAGCGGUGAAAUGCGUAGAUAUCAGGAGGAAUACCGGUGGCGAAAGCGACUCUCUGGACGGCAACUGACGCUGAGGCACGAAAGCGUGGGGAGCAAACAGG